rnacentral:tRNA from 1 species
GCAUCGGUGGCUUAGUGGUAGAAUGCUCGCCUGCCACGCGGGCUGCCCGGGUUCGAUUCCCGGCCGAUGCA